GUGUAGGAAGGAGAGAUGGUUGUUAUCUCCUCUGACAGUGAUGGGAACAGAUUUCGGACUUACCUGUUAACACAUCCGGUUAAGGCUAACCAUUUUGGUGGAUCUCUAUCCCAAUUUAA